GACGAGGGGUCCAAGCGUUGUUCGGAAUCAUUGGGCGUAAAGCGGGUGUAGGUGGCUCUAUAAGUCAGAAGUGAAAGCCCCGGGCUUAACCCGGGAAGUGCUUUUGAUACUGCAGAGCUUGAAUGUGGGAGAGGGUAGUGGAAUUCCAGGUGUAGUGGUGAAAUACGUAGAUAUCUGGAGGAACACCGGUGGCGAAGGCGGCUACCUGGCCCAACAUUGACACUGAGACGCGAAAGCAUGGGGAGCAAACAGG
rnacentral:rRNA from 1 species